rnacentral:piRNA from 1 species
UGUUCACUUCCCUGCCAUUCAGUAUGC